GGGCCUGUAGCUCAGGUGGUUAGAGCGCACGCCUGAUAAGCGUGAGGUCAGUGGUUCAACUCCACUCAGGCCCACUA
rnacentral:tRNA from 2 species